UAUAUACUCCCUCCGUAUGAAAUACUUGGCGGAGAAAUGGAUGAUCUAGAUGUAUUUUAAUUCUACAUACAUCCAUUUCUAUUCAUAUCUCCGACAAGUAUUUUUGGACGGAGAGAGUACAUU
rfam:Triticum aestivum genome assembly, contig: Triticum_aestivum_CS42_TGACv1_scaffold_603703_7DL